rnacentral:lncRNA from 1 species
AAAGCCAAAGUCCAGAGCUAGUGGGUUUCCAAAUAUAUUGAUUAGUUGUGUGAUAGGAGAACCAAAAUACAAAUAUCUCACAGAUUUUUUUGUUUGACAACGAUUCAUAGUUUCACAUAUAAUUCUACCAACAUUGAUAAGAUAGCGUUUCAUGAUUGCAUACAACCAAUGAGCCCUUUUUGUAUGAAUUUCAUAGGUGUUUCUAUUUGGUUCUAACCUUGAACUCAAAAAUAGCAUCCAUACCUUAGUGACUAAACUGAGAUUUCUAGCCGAAAACCGAUCUCUCUGACCAUGUGUAUCAAUAUGCCAUCAAUUCCAAGAGGUCACAAAUCUGGAUCAAUCUCAUUCCAAGUUGGAUCGCGAAGUAAAACGUACAAGUGUGUGUCAUCCAAUUCAAGGGUCUCAUACAGCCUAUUGAUAACACUGGGAUCAAAGAAAAUUGUAUAACCCCUAAUAGUAAAAGUGUUAGUGGUGACAUCCAUGUUAGCGUAAAAUUCCCUAAUAAGUACUGACACUACAGGUUUGGGAUUUUAAGCAAACUUGAUCCAGCAGCGUGGUUCGAUUGAUGCAAGAACAGGCCAAAUUUGUUCGACAUCUGCUUCAGUAAGUGCACGUCCCCACUCUUUAAUAAGAUGACGUCCCAUUGCCUCUUUCUCCCAUUCAUUAGCAUUAUAGGAAAUAAACCUAGUUCGAUCAUACUUAUUUAUAAGCUUAGAGUAUUGUGGUGCCAUUUUUAGAAUAGAAGCAGGGAACUUUUUGUUUUUUUUUUCUUUUCUAGAUAUGAAUUCUUAAUGGGUAAUCUCUCUUAUAUAGAACCAAAUAGGGAAUCACGGUUCUUUGAAUUAUACAGAUGAUAAUCAACGUGUACACAGAUUGUAGAUACUAUCUUUUGUAGUGUACACGAAUACAAAAUUCAGUGUUCUAAAUCCUUUAAAAGACCCUUUUUUUCUUCACCAAAUAUAUCUUCAUGUGGAAGUAAUAUUUGUAUUCAGCUUAUUUUAUUCUUUAGGAUAGGUUUACUAAUUGAUAUUAUCUUCUUCUCUAUAAUUAUUAUAUGUAUAGUGAAUAUAUAGUAUUAGAAAGGCCAUAUUUUAUAUAUAUUUGUAUGCAUUUCACUGGAUGUGAACAAACAUCUUUUCUAUUCCUUGCUUCC